rnacentral:rRNA from 1 species
AUUGAACGCUGGCGGCAUGCUUUACACACGCAAGUCGGACGGCAGCACAGAGAAGCUUGCUUCUUGGGUGGCGAGUGGCGAACGGGUGAGUAAUAUAUCGGAACGUACCGAGUAAUGGGGGAUAACUAAUCGAAAGAUUAGCUAAUACCGCAUAUUCUCUGAGGAGGAAAGCAGGGGACCUUCGGGCCUUGCGUUAUUCGAGCGGCCGAUAUCUGAUUAGCUAGUUGGUGGGGUAAAGGCCUACCAAGGCGACGAUCAGUAGCGGGUCUGAGAGGAUGAUCCGCCACACUGGGACUGAGACACGGCCCAGACUCCUACGGGAGGCAGCAGUGGGGAAUUUUGGACAAUGGGCGCAAGCCUGAUCCAGCCAUGCCGCGUGUCUGAAGAAGGCCUUCGGGUUGUAAAGGACUUUUGUCAGGGAAGAAAAGGCUGUUGCUAAUACCGACAGCUGAUAACGGUACCUGAUAGAAUAAGCCACGG